CUGGUGUGAUUCUGUCCUGCGCGUCUGUGCUGCCGAGGAGCAGUCGUUUACCUCCGUCCGUCUUCUCUCCCGCUCAAGUGUGUGCCACCACCCCAUGGAAGAUUCGAUGGACAUGGACAUGAGCCCCCUGAGGCCCCAGAACUAUCUUUUCGGUUGUGAACUAAAGGCCGACAAAGAUUAUCACUUUAAAGUGGAUAAUGAUGAAAAUGAGCAUCAAUUAUCUUUAAGAACGGUCAGUUUAGGGGCUGGUGCAAAGGAUGAAUUGCACAUUGUUGAAGCGGAGGCAAUGAAUUAUGAAGGCAGUCCAAUUAAAGUAUCACUGGCAACUUUGAAAAUGUCUGUACAGCCAACGGUUUCCCUUGGGGGCUUUGAAAUAACACCACCUGUGGUCUUACGGUUGAAGUGUGGUUCAGGGCCUGUGCAUAUUAGUGGACAGCACUUAGUAGCUGUAGAAGAAGAUGCAGAGUCAGAAGAUGACGAGGAGGAGGACGUGAAACUCCUAAGUAUAUCUGGAAAGCGUUCUGCCCCUGGAAGUGGCAGCAAAGUUCCACAGAAAAAAGUAAAACUUUCUGCUGAUGAAGAUGACGACGACGAUGAUGAUGAGGAUGAUGAUGAAGAUGAUGAUGAUGAUGAUGAGUUUGAUGAUGAGGAAGCUGAAGAAAAAGCUCCUAUAAAGAAAUCUAUUCGAGAUACUCCAGCCAAAAAUGCAAAAAAUCAAACCAGAAUGGAAAAGACUCAAAACCAUCAACACCAAGAUCAAAAGGUCAAGAGUCGUUCAAAAAACAGGAAAAAACUCCUAAAACAUCAAAAGGGCCUAGUUCUGUAGAAGACAUUAAAGCAAAAAUGCAAGGAAGUAUAGAAAAAGGCGGUUCUCUUCCCAAAGUGGAAGCCAAGUUCAUCAAUUAUGUGAAGAAUUGCUUCCGGAUGACCGACCAGGAGGCUAUUCAAGAUCUCUGGCAGUGCAGAACGUCUCUUUAAGAAAAUAGUUUAAACAGUUUGUUAAAAUUUUCCAUCUUAUUUCAUUUCUGUAACAGUUGAUAUCUGGCUGUCCUUUUUAUAAUGCAGAGUGAGAACUUUCCCUACCAUGUCUGAUAAAUGUUGUCCAGGUUCUAUUGCCAAGAAUGUGUUGUCCAAAAUGCCUGUUUAGUUUUUAAGGAUGGAACUCCACCCUUUGCUUGGUUUUAAGUAUGUAUGGAAUGUUAUGAUAGGACAUAGUAGUAGUGGUGGUCAGACAAAUGGAAAUGGUGGGGAGACAAAAAUAUACAUGUGUAAUAAACUCAGUAUUUUAAUAAAGUAAAAAAAAGAAA